GACCCAGUGGCGGAUGGUCCGCGCCCGUCGUCUACGUCCUGAUUUCUCGAUAACGAUAAAGCGGGAGGUCCUGGUUCGAUUCCAGGCUGGGUCA